rnacentral:rRNA from 1 species
UACAGAGGUGGCGAGCGUUAUUCGGAAUUAUUGGGCGUAAAGGGCGCGUAGGAGGAGCCGCGCGUCGCUCGUGAAAUCUCCCGGCUUACCCGGGAGGGGUCGGGCGAUACGGCGGCUCUCGAGCGCGGGAGAGGGAAGCGGAAUUCCCGGUGUAGUGGUGGAAUGCGUAGAGAUCGGGAGGAACACCAGUGGCGAAGGCGGCUUCCUGGACCGUGGCUGACGCUGAUGCGCGAAAGCGUGGGGAGCGAUCCGG